rnacentral:rRNA from 1 species
AUUGAACGCUAGCGGGAUGCUAACACAUGCAAGUCGAACGAGUGGCGGACGGGUGAGUAAUAUAUCGGAACGUGCCCAGUAGCGGGGGAUAACUACUCGAAAGACUGCUAUACCGAAUACUAUUGGAGCGGCCGUUAUCGGAUUAGCUAGGUGGUGGGGUAAAGGAUCACCAAGGCAACGAUCCGUAGCUGGUUUGAGAGGACGACCAGCCACAAUGGAACUGAGACACGGCCCAGACUCCUACGGGAGGCAGCAGGGGGGAAUUUUGGACAAUGGGGGAAAGCCUGAUCCAGCCAUCCCGCGUGGAUGAAGAAGGCUUCGGGUUGUAAAGUACUUUCAGUCGGGAGGCGUUACCUACAGAAGAAGCACCGGCUAACUCCGUGCCAGCAGCCGCGGUAAGUC